rnacentral:rRNA from 1 species
UACGAAGGGUGCAAGCGUUACUCGGAAUUACUGGGCGUAAAGCGUGCGUAGGUGGCCUGUUAAGUCUGAUGUGAAAGCCCCGGGCUCAACCUGGGAAUUGCAUUGGAUACUGGCAGGCUAGAGUGCGGUAGAGGGUAGUGGAAUUCCCGGUGUAGCAGUGAAAUGCGUAGAGAUCGGGAGGAACACCAGUGGCGAAGGCGACUACCUGGACCAGCACUGACACUGAGGCGCGAAAGCUAGGGUAGCAAGCGGG